rnacentral:rRNA from 1 species
AUUGAACGCUGGCGGCAUGCCUUACACAUGCAAGUCGAACGGCAGCACGGGGCAACCUGGUGGCGAGUGGCGAACGGGUGAGUAAAGUAUCGGAACGUACCAUUCAGUGGGGGAUAACGUAGCGAAAGUUACGCUAAUACCGCAUAUUCUCUCCGGAGGAAAGCAGGGGAUCGCAAGACCUUGCGCUGAUUGAGCGGCCGAUAUCAGAUUAGCUAGUUGGUGAGGUAAAGGCUCACCAAGGCGACGAUCUGUAGCGGGUCUGAGAGGAUGAUCCGCCACACUGGAACUGAGACACGGUCCAGACUCCUACGGGAGGCAGCAGUGGGGAAUUUUGGACAAUGGGCGCAAGCCUGAUCCAGCCAUGCCGCGUGAGUGAAGAAGGCCUUCGGGUUGUAAAGCUCUUUCGGCCGGGAAGAAAUCGCAUGGGUUAAUACCCUGUGUGGAUGACGGUACCGGAAUAAGAAGCACCGGCUAACUACGUGCCAGCAGCCGCCGUAA